rnacentral:misc_RNA from 1 species
AAAAAAAUUACCGGUAUAUGUAACAUAUUGAUUAAAAUGUUAAAUGAAGCAUGUUACAACUUUUUUCUCUUUUCUUUUUUGCCAAUUUUUCCACUUGACAAGAAUUGUGUUUUUACACUUGAAAUAUUUAUAGCAAAGCUUAAAAAAUGCAAUAUUCUUACAAAACAUUUUUAUACAGAUAGCAUCAAAUGCAAUAAUUGUUUUGCAACCUUACAACUUAGUUGUUCUAAGGGAUAUGUAUGUAUAUAUGUAAUGUAGAGAAAGUAAAUUUUGACAUUAAUGAGAAAAAAUGUACUAGUAUUCAAUAUUUCAUGCAAAAUUUAGGUAGCACUCAGGUUUACUGAGUGGAAGUAUAAGUGAGAAUAUAAGUAGAUAAAACAUUUGUUUUCAAAGAUUGGUCUAAUGAACAUUAGUAUGUACAAGUACUUCAAAUUCCGCAGAAAAUGCAGAGGUUUUGUGUGCACAGAUCAUUAUGUUAAUAUAAGCUUGCUGGUCGAGCUGUUGACAGCACAUAAAAACCGUUUCAUUAAUUUAAAACACCCGUAAUAUUCCAAUGUAAUUAGAUUUGAAGCAUGAUUAUUUCUUUUGGAACACCAAAAAAAGUAAUGGUCACAACUUUUGCACAAUAUGCAAGAUGAAAAUUCAGACAAAAAUACAUAAGCCAAAGGCAAGGCCAAUUGUUAGUGAUCAAGAUUAAAAUCUGACUGCCAAAGCAUGGUCAAAGUGGGGCAUUGUGUUACACACACACUUUAUGGGCGUUUUCAUUUGCUUAAAGCAAAAAAAAAUAUUAUGGUGUUUUAGAAGAUAUUUUAUUGUAUUUUCAACCAAUAAACCCCACUAAAAUAUCUUAAUUUAAAACAUGCCUGGUUUCUUUGCUAUGGAUAUUUCAAGCUUUAGUCAAUUUAAUAUAUUGAUAAGAAUUCAUUUGAUUUUAAUAUAUUGUUCCUAUUGUAGUGCUGUCAUGGUUGCAAUGUAGGUGACAGCCAAUGAAAUUUGGACUGUAAAUAUUGUAAUGAUAUUAUUUUUUAUUGGUGUUUGCAUAUACAUUCUUAUAUGUCUAUAUAUAAUCACAAACAUGUUCAGUUUUUACAAACUGAAACCAAAAUAAAAAUGAAAUAAUUG